rnacentral:lncRNA from 1 species
GAAGAGGCUUCGAGAAAGCUCAGAAGCAAACCAGAGGGCCCAGGUUAUGCCAGUGAUUUUCUCCCAGCAUGGAGUUUUCUCUGUGAGCUGCAUUCAGGGAACCUUUAGCUGCCAUCUCCUCUCCCGUUCCUCCUGAUGGAAUGUAACAAAAGAAAAUAACCUUAAUCAAGACCAGACGUCUGGCCCGGGGUUUGGCAUCUGUGUUUGUGGCAUAAAAGACCGGGUCCAGCACAAGCCCGCUUUCAUUCUUUGAUUACAAAACAAGAAAAGGCUCUGGCGUUUGAGGAGAGGUGAGAGUGUGUUCUCUAGUGACUUGCUUGUUUGGUUUUGGCUCAUCUUCCUAUAGGCUAUUUGCUGAUUUAGACACAAAACUUAAAAGAAAAAAAAAAAGAUAAUAAAAAUUUCACUUAAUACCAUAAGUGAAUUCCUGUUAAGUGCCAGGCCCUUUCCAUUGAAGCAAGAACUCCAUGAACGUCUUGUUAUUCAUGAGGGGUUGACUCCAGCAUGUCAACAGCAUGUCCCACCACUGGCGUGUUCUGCUCUCUGUUUGGGAUGUGAGUUCCACCCUGAGACUCAGCUCAACCAACACGUUCUUUGCAGGGCCUCUUGCAGAGGCGACAUCCGAAGCUGGGCAUGACAGCCCAUGCAUGCUUAUAAUGUUAGUGUUCAGGGAGAUGAGGCAGGAGGAUCUAAGUUUAGGGCCAGCCUAGGCUACGUAAUGAAGCCUCACCUAAGAUAAAUAAUAAUAAUAAUAAAAUAAUAUUUAUAAAAAGGAAUGUGAGUCCCUUCUUCCUAUAACACUGGUGACAUUUUCUUACAGAGGUGGGACCUGAGGUUUUUUUCCUCCGGGACAUGAUACAGAGGAGGAAAAUCCUUGUGGAAUAGGUGAGAUAGUGAGAUGGGUUGGUGCCAAGUUCCCGAUGGCCUGCAGCCAUCCACACGUAAGCUCAGAGAGGAUGGAGAGUGAAGAUGGAUCUGGGGUAAGAUGGCAGUGUGCUCAUAGAGUAGGAGCUGGCGGGGAAGAUCUGAGUCAGUUGCCACAAAUGCCACCUGUGGCUUGCCUUCAGUUUCAGGAAUUCGGAGAUUCAGGAAUUCGGAGAUCCACAGACAUGGAGGACUGGUCCCCACAUCCACUCGCAUGCAGACCAGCCGUCCCAUUGGAGGCAAAGCCUUUUUGAUUUGUUACUCCAGCAUGUAUCACAGAACACACUGGAGUGUCUAAUAAACGUGAUUAAUGGCCAAAGAUAAAGACCACUAAAAAGAUCUCCCUUCAGCUUCGUUUGAAAACUUGGAAGGCAGAGCUUAGAGUAGUGAGCAGCCCUGACGCCUGUUGGCUGCAGUAAUUUAUGAGUUCAGUGUCCAGCGUCUUACAGCAGCAGUCCUGGACAGCGGAAACUGAGGAGCCUGGGUACUUAACAGUAGCUAAGGUAGCGGGGGCACAGCUUCAUGUUCACCAGGAGGGACUGUCUACCCACACCCUGGAGACUCUUAGCUGUAUUGAUUUGUAUGGGAGUUGUCCUAGAACAGGGCUGAGAUUUUAACCAAGGGCCUUGCACAUGCUAAGUGCAUGCUCCCACAUUGAACUACAUUCCUAGCCUUCCUUAGCUUUAAAGUUUUGGAUGUUUGUUUCAUUGUCUGGUUUUGUUUUUUUGUUGUUGUUGUUUUCAACUCAGUAAAUCUGAAAUUUAAUACAUUGGGUUUUUUUUUUUUUUUUUUUUUUUUUUUUUUACUUAAAGCAAGAGAGUUAACCUUUAAUCAUUUCCAAAAGCCCUCUGCUAAGGGAAGGCUGCAUUCUAAGUAAUUUCAUUUUCAGCAGGGUAAGUAGAAAAGGCUAAAACACAUCCCGAGCCACGGGGACCUCGAAGCUUAUCGCUCCUUGCGGUUUCUCCUGUUUGAUACCAUGCUUUCUGGAAGAUGCAAUUUUCUGCUUCCAUUUCUGUUGUCGACGUGCCAGGGUUCCCAGCAGAGCGGGCCUCAAGUUUAGCCGCAGGUUACUUUUCUUUGGAAGCGAUUCAAAUAAAAUCAUCAUCCUGCGUCCCCCCUUUCAUUUGACAUUUGACUAAAACAAUGCUCUGGCAGCGCGACAGGGGCUCUUAAAAACCUCAGUAUUUCUUCCUGCAAUCUUUGCCUUUCAAGAAGCGCUCUUUUAAAAAUGUGGUUUAAAAUUGAGCAUAGAAAUAAAAACACAGAGCUGAUUGCUUGGAGACCAAAGCUCCAAGGGAACAAGGGAAAAAGAAGUUGGGAGCCUGGGGUGGGGUGGGCGUUGCGGGGAGCCUGGAAGUCAGCCUGGACCCGUGAGUGGUCGCCCACUUGCAUUUCACAUCCGCGUCCUGGAACCUGGAACCUGCCCGUCUCCUCCACCCCCCACCCCCCCAUGCAUAGCUUACUGCCUUGUCCAGUUUCCAGCCCCCGGGGUACCUUUGUUAUCUAUCUAGUUAGGUAGGAUUUCAUGUUUGUUUGUUUGUUUGUUUUUCUUAUUAUUUCUUAUUUCAUAGGAAAGGUCCUGUAUAGUCCAGACUGCAAACUUCAAAUUCCCUAUUUAGUUUAGGGGGAUCUUGAACUUUUGAUCCUCCUGCCUCUGCCUCCAUAGCUGCAGGUAUGUUCUACCAUAUCCAGUUUUAUGUGGUGCUGGGAGAUUGACCCCAAGGCUUCAUGCAUGCCAGGCGAGCGGUCGUCUGCCGAUGGGAGCGAUAUCCCAGCCUUUAGAUAUCCUGUUGAUGACUUGCUUUGCUGGGUGUCCUGGCAGUAGUUCUUCUAAUAACUGUUCUUCCAGGUUUUACAAAACCAGGGGAAGGAUUUUUGGUGACUCUAGAUUUUCUGUUCAACCACAUCCCCCUGAAAAGAAAUUAGUGGGUGGGUGCAGUUGGUGUUGUAUGUAUGUGGACUUCACAUUCUUGGAUUCAAACCAUGUCAGGUCAAACAUAUGCAAGAAUUGACUGAAGGGCCUGGUAGCUUAUAUCUGUGAUCCCAGAACUUGGAAGCUAAAGCGGGAGGAUGGAUGACAGUCUACUGCCAGCCUGGUUAACCUAAUAAGUUCUAGACCCAGGUUCCUGUCUAGGAAAACAAGCAAAACGCAAAACAAUAAAAAACAAACAAACAAACAAACACAAAACAAAACAAACCCCAAAAGUUAUUUGGGCCGGGCAUGGUAGCACAUACCUUUAAUUCCAGCACUCGGGAGGCAGAGGCAGAUGGAGCUCUGUGAGUUCAAGGCUAGCCUGGUCUACAGAACCAGUUCUAGGACAGCCAAGGCUACCCAGAGAAAUGUUGUCUCCAAAAACAAAGCAAAAGCUAUUUGGAGGGAAAUCUUAUCUGUACAGCACAUACAGGCUUUUUCCUUAUCAGUAUUUGUUCAACAAUAAAACCACGUACAUAGCAUUUGACAUUGCAUUAAGUAUUAUAAACAAUCCAGGGAGGACUAAAGUGUUGAGGGAGGGGCUGGGGGAUGUGAAUGAUUGACAAGUGUGAAGGCACAAUACCGUUUUAUACGAAGCACUUGAGCAUCCACAGAGUUAGGUAUUCUUGCAGGCAUCUUGGAACCAGUCCCCUGUGGAUACCAAAAGAUGCCUAUUUGUAUUUGUGUUCAGAAAACUUAUAUAGAUUGUUCUGGUGGCCAUAAAAUGAGAUAACUCCAACAUAAAACC